AUACGUAGGGUGCAAGCGUUGUCCGGAAUUAUUGGGCGUAAAGAGCUCGUAGGCGGCUUGUCGCGUCUGCUGUGAAAACUGGAGGCUCAACCUCCAGCCUGCAGUGGGUACGGGCAAGCUAGAGUGCGGUAGGGGAGAUUGGAAUUCCUGGUGUAGCGGUGGAAUGCGCAGAUAUCAGGAGGAACACCGAUGGCGAAGGCAGAUCUCUGGGCCGUUACUGACGCUGAGGAGCGAAAGCAUGGGGAGCGAACAGGAUUAGAUACCCUGGUAGUCCAUGCCGUAAACGUUGGGAACUAGAUGUAGGGCCUGUUCCACGGGUUCUGUGUCGUAGCUAACGCAUUAAGCUCCCCGCCUGGGGAGUACGGCCGCAAGGCUAAA
rnacentral:rRNA from 1 species